rnacentral:rRNA from 1 species
UACGUAGGGUCCGAGCGUUGUCCGGAAUUACUGGGCGUAAAGAGCUCGUAGGUGGUUUGUCGCGUUGUUCGUGAAAACUCACAGCUCAACUGUGGGCGUGCGGGCGAUACGGGCAGACUUGAGUACUGCAGGGGAGACUGGAAUUCCUGGUGUAGCGGUGGAAUGCGCAGAUGUCAGGAGGAACACCGGUGGCGAAGGCGGGUCUCUGGGCAGUAACUGACGCUGAGGAGCGAAAGCGUGGGGAGCGAACAGG